AAUUAUCUUUUUUUUUCAUGAAUGUCCUUGAUUAGCGACGUGUUUGGUUCACAAUUGUCAAACCCGAGGCAUGACUAUAUAAAUUAGCAAACACACCGAUUUUUCGGGCCCUCUCGCAUCUAAUCCUUCCCUCGGCUUCACACAUCCUGAACUGCAGCAGCCGGCCCCUGGAUACACUUCAGCGCGGAACCGCGGCGGCCACCGCUAUCACUCCCCGGCGACCGAUCCAAAUUGCAGCUUCCAUUGGCCAACGGAUCAGAGAGCGCGAGACCAGCCGGAUCCGAGGUUUAUUUUAAUCAAAGAUCUGAAGAGGAGUGUGCGCCCCGUCCAGGAUCUGAUUGUUUGCUGACUAGUUAAUUUUUGUGGAUGAGAGAAUUUUCUGGUGCUUUGUGGAUGUCCUUGCUAGAUGGAGGCUGGAUGUCUCACGUGGAAGAAUUGAUUCAUGUGGCUUGUGGGGGUGAAUGGCGUAGCAUCCCAUCGUCGAUCUUCAGCACACUCUGUUGAUCCUACCGCUAGCGGUGCCCAGUCAGCCGUAAACAGAUCAACAUAUUUCUUUAAUUAUUUUUGUUAGUGGACAUUUGAUCAAAUGGAUUCACAAAUAGUGAUUUCAGCUGCUAUUUCUUCUUUGGGAAAGUAGUAUAUACCCAACAAAAAGGAACGGUACCUCUGGUUUCUAGUUUAAUCACUAUGUUGAAACCUUUGGUUGAAGGAUCAAGAACGGCACCUUGCUGCCAUCUUCUUUAUAUGUUCAGUAUUGUCUCAAUAUGAAAUUGCUGCUAGAAUUUUCUAUUUUGGAAAGGAACAUACAUGUCCCACUUCAACAAGUGCUGUAUUUUUCUGCGGAGACAUACGACCACAUUACAAAAUGUAUUACACAUGUUGUUUCAUCUAACUUUUCACAUACUCUUUUAUUGUAUACUUUCAUCUAACUUUUCUUAUAACUCAUUGCAGAGACUAGACUCUCAC
rnacentral:rRNA from 1 species